ensembl:lncRNA
CCAGCUGCCCGCACACGCGCAGUGGGAUAGCCAGCUUCGACCAAAGGAAGCUGGGCUCUUGGAGGUGGGGGGCAGAGGAGGCGGGAUGGGAGAGGGAAGGAAGGGGUGAAAGGCACGCCUACCUUCCUCUCCUCAGGUUCCCCAGGGCCCAGAGGUCCGGUCACUUCUCUCGCCCGGUGUGGCGGCCCUAGUUGCCGGUGAGACGUGGGCACGCCAGGCACCUCUGUGGUCCCCCAUUUGGACCCGGGUGGCUGGGAACGAAAUCAGAUGCGGGGGAGGGAAGACAUCGGUGAGGCAGGGGCGAGGAGGAGCCCCGAGUCCUGCUUGGAGCCAUGGCUGUGGCAACUGAAACCUGUGGACCCUGAGAUUGCUGCCUCCCCUAGUCGUGGGCAGAGGAGGCCUGCUCCCUGGAGCCACACACACCCGGGAGGCCCCUGCCUCUCCCAGGGCCCUCCAGAAAUCUGCUGAAAGCCCCACUCCCGGCCGGUUCCCCUCCACACCCCCACCGCCAAAGUCCAGCCCACCCCCCGCCUUAGGGUACCUGGGUAUGGCCGGCGGGGACCUGGCCGUGGAGGGUACUCCCUGGCCGGCUGAGGCACACCAGUUUCGGGCUCCUUCCUUUUCUGCAGGGGCGAUGGCACUUCCCACAGCCUUUCAGGAGCCAGGGCCCUUUCCUCAGGAGUUGUCCGGCUGACAGAGUCUUGGCCCCCGGGGCAAGCUCGGCCAGCCUCGCUUUGGGAAAUUGGGCGACCCCUGUGUCGCUCCUGGCCCUCUGCCCGCAUCGGGUGCACUAGGGGAGUGGGCCAAGGGAGGGUCCUUCUCGUCCCUCGUGGUGGAUCUCUCCAGAGAGGAGGGCCCUAAGAAGCAGGAAGCGGCCAGACCAGGGCGGGGACCCUCUGGAGCAAGAGCCUGCCGGGUGGGGUACCCGUUGCCUCGCUGGCCCGCCGAGCGUGGCCACGUUCUGUCCGCAAGUCUUUUUCGGCCUUCCGUCUUGACUCGGUUUUUCCUCCUCCUGGACGGAAAGGUUCAAGUCGUGAUGGGAGGCCGUGUUUUGUCUUGUGAGGGAGGAAGCGAGACCCGGGUGGAUCCAGCUGGCAGAAGGAACAGCCUUGAUCUCCUUCCCUAGACCGGAGGUAGCAAACAGGGCCAGAGCGCCACUUACAAGGUGCAGAAGCAAGGACGUGAGCAGAAGAGUUUAAGAGCCGGGGAGACACGGCUGAAGGGAGAGGGAGCCCACGGCCAUACAACACGGGCACCCUAGACUAGGAGGAGAGUCGUGGGAAACACGGAAGAGCAAACACAGGCACAGACAACAGAAAGAUCAAGUCGGAACGUGGGGAUCUGGGAUCUGGCAAGGAAGGAUGCAGACAGAGAGAGUGUGUUCCUGAGGCAGUCUUUGGAGAUUCCAAGGCUGACAAUGUCCCGGAGCCAUGCUUUGGGCUGCAAGAAGAUCCCAUCUGGGCCCACAAGAGGAAGCGUGCUCUGUGCCAACCUGGGGUCUGAGAAGCCAGCAGGCAGAGCGAAGGGAAAGAAGAGAACGGAGAGAUGGAGACACAGACCGAGAAAGUGAGAGGGCACUUUCCAAGGAGCGACCCUGGCCCCAAAGACGCCCUCCCCCAACCCCCCCGGGACGACUCCCAGUCCAAAGGGUGGAAGGUGGAAAAGGAAGCGCCGGCAGGUCAAACGGGACAGCUCCACUGGAAGGGGAGCAGCCAUGAACUGGCCAUACCGUGUGCAGUUAAGUCCAUGCUAUCGUGGUCCCAGAGUGACUUUGCUCUUCCUGACCAUGGCACCUGAUUCUGGUGAGGUCCGAUUUGAGCGCUGGGGGAAGAGGGCUGGGGGAGUGCAGGAGAGCCACGAGUCCCUGCUUCGGCCUCUUUGGGGACCUUUCCUCCAACUCGAAGACAAGUUUCUGAUCUAGGACAUUUCAGGUUCUGGGGUUUGGCAAGCUGUCUCUCGGGACAGAGAGGGGCUGCUUCCAAGUGCCUGACCCAAGCGUCAGGCACACCUUCAGAAAUGCCAGGAAAGCCGAUAAGGAACAACAAAGUAUCACACUCAGUCACACAGCCGAAGACAGGCACACGGCCACAAAGUCAGGGGGAGGAAUGAGGACUGCACGGAGGCCUGGGCCCAGCGGGAAAACCCCAUCCCUGCACCCACACGGGCAGCUGGUGGGGCUCGGGACUGUAGCUCCAGGUCCUGAGGCACGGAAGUCCCUGAGAGAGCUAAGCUGACAAGAAGCACACGGGCAGCGCCAUCUCGGGGUCACAGGGCAGGCCCCUUCCGGGACAGUCCCAGGCACAGUCCCUCAAAGCCGACCUGAUGAACGGAUACCACCGCUAGGCUCCUGGUCCUGCCCGCUCAGCGUGGCCCUGCCAGCCUUCCCCCCACUCACGGAAGCUCCAGCCAGCCAUCUCCCCAUCCUUAUUUCCUUGCUUCCUUCUUUCCUUCAGUCCUGCUUUCCUUCCCUUUGUAUAGGCAUCCAUCCGUCCUUCCGGCCGGCCAUCCACCCACGCAUCCAUCCCUUCAUCCGCCACUCCCACUGGAGCCCCUGCCACAGCCUGCCACUGCACCUGCGCCAGCCCACCGCCAGGGGGCGCGCCCGCUCCCUCAGAGCCCGGCGGACGCGACGCCUAGCAACCGUGGAGGUCAUUGUGAGUGGAGAUUCCAGGAGGAUCCACGUCACGGAGUUGUGAGGGGUGACUGAGAGAAGUCGUGGAGAGCGUGAAGCACAGGAACGGGCCCACAGGAAGUGCCCAAGAAAUGGAAGCUUUAUACCGUCAUUGUCAACGAGAAAAGCAAAAAGCCCACUUUUCCUGCAAAAAGAAAUCGUAUAUUUAUACAAAUCCUAUUGUUAUACUUAUUAUUUAUGGUCAAUUCUAAAGACAUAAAACAUUACCGUAUUGGUGUCAAACGUGAAUUUUAUUUCUAUGUCUUUAUUAAAAUACAAACAAAAAUAAAUGCAUUUGUCAGCUGAGAAAGGGGGAUGUUUGAUAGUCAGUGGGCUGCACAAGGCCCUUGUUUUAUUUUACAUUACCAUGGCCGUCUCAGAGUAACCUCAGCUGAUGUGAUAUUUUGUGAGAUUGUUUAUGUCCAACAGGAGAGCAUGGCCCAGCAGUGAACACAAGACCUGUUUCCAAAUAUUAGGGGAUUUUCUUUCUCAGGCCUCAUC